CAUCAUCUGAUACAAUCAACUGGAACAAAGCUGAAAUGGCUGCCUGACCUGACUUAAAAAUCGGAUGGCAAUACAUCAGACUAGAAGAUUAUUAGUAUUGAGAUGGACAAAAUGAAACAUGAGCCUACCAAAGCUGACAGAUUGCACAAGAAACACAUAAAUGCAGAUUGGAGGAUUCAUUCUCUGGAAAAUAGAAAAGGGCAUGUUACAUACUGUUAUCAUUGCCAUGACAGAAACCAUAUUGAGGAGCUGGUCCACCUGUAGGAAGAAUUGCGCUAUUGGUUGGAGCAGCACUAUUCCCCAGCCAUACACCAGCACUUAGUUUGUCAUAGGGAGCAUUUCUGAGCAGUUAUGGAGACCACUAACUAUGCAGUUGUUGCAGUGAAACUUGCACCAGUGUGUUUUCUGUGGAAAUAAAGAGAUAGUGUCCAGCAAUGAAGACCCAACUCAAGAUCUGACCUUGUAAGGCCAAUAUGAAAUAACUGUGUGGAAAAAUGGGAAAAACAUGCAGUCAGGAAUGCACGG